rnacentral:rRNA from 1 species
UACGUAGGGUGCAAGCGUUGUCCGGAAUUAUUGGGCGUAAAGCGCACGUAGGCGGCUCUGUAAGUCGGAUGUGAAAUCCCUCGGCUUAACCAAGGAAGUGCAUCCGAAACUGCAAGGCUUGAGUACUUAAGAGGAUCGCGGAAUUCCCGGUGUAGAGGUGAAAUUCGUAGAUAUCGGGAGGAACACCAGUGGCGAAGGCGGCGAUCUGG